rnacentral:sRNA from 12 species
UGACCUAUACAAAAGGGUAUAGGUGUUGGAGAUUGUUGUCAAGAACUUUGCAAAGAUUUCUUUCGAUAUGUCUU